rnacentral:rRNA from 1 species
AUUGAACGCUGGCGGCAUGCUUUACACAUGCAAGUCGAACGGUAACAGGCCGCAAGGUGCUGACGAGUGGCGCACGGGUGAGUAAUGCAUCGGAACGUGCCCAGUCGUGGGGGAUAACUACUCGAAAGAGUAGCUAAUACCGCAUACGAUCUAUGGAUGGAAGCGGGGGACCGUAAGGCCUCGCGCGAUUGGAGCGGCCGAUGUCAGAUUAGGUAGUUGGUGGGGUAAAGGCUCACCAAGCCAACGAUCUGUAGCUGGUCUGAGAGGACGACCAGCCACACUGGGACUGAGACACGGCCCAGACUCCUACGGGAGGCAGCAGUGGGGAAUUUUGGACAAUGGGCGCAAGCCUGAUCCAGCAAUGCCGCGUGCAGGAAGAAGGCCUUCGGGUUGUAAACUGCUUUUGUACGGAACGAAACGGCUCUGGUUAAUACCCGGGGCUAAUGACGGUACCGUAAGAAUAAGCACCGGCUAACUACGUG